rnacentral:rRNA from 1 species
CACCUCUUGUCCUUAUAAGAGGCCCAGCCUGCCCAGUGACUUUAUUCAACGGCCGCGGUAUCCUAACCGUGCAAAGGUAGCGUAAUCACUUGUCUUCUAAAUAAAGACUAGUAUGAAAGGCACCACGAGGAUUAAGCUGUCUCCUUUCUCUAAUCAGUGAACCUAAUUUUCCCGUGAAGAAGCGGGGAUGAUUUUAUAAGACGAGAAGACCCUAUGGAGCUUUAAACACUAUUACACGUGCUCCCAACUAACUACCCAGGUACCUAACCCAAAACCACGCUGAUAAUAUGUUUUUGGUUGGGGUGACCACGGAGAAUAAACCAUCCUCCGCGAUGAAGGGGUAUCUCCCCUAAACAACAAGCCACAACUUUAUUUAUCAAUAAAUUGACAUUCAUUGACCCAAUAUUUUGAUCAACGAACCAAGUUACCCUAGGGAUAACAGCGCAAUCCACUUUAAGAGCCCCUAUCGACAAGUGGGCUUACGACCUCGAUGUUGGAUCAGGGUAUCCCAGUGGUGCAGCCGCUACUAAAGGUUCGUUUGUUCAACGAUUAAAACCCU